GAUGAACGCUAGCGGCAGGCUUUAACACAUGCAAGUCGAGGGGCAGCGGGGAGUAGCAAUACUCUGCCGGCGACCGGCGCAAAGGGUGCGUAACGCGUGAGCAACUUGCCCUCAUCAGGGAGAUAACCGGUGGAAACGCCGACUAAUAUCCCAUGGUCUGUUUAUGAGGCAUCUUAUAGACAGUAAAGUUACGAUGGAUGAGGAUAGGCUCGCGUGACAUUAGCUAGUUGGCGGGGUAAUGGCCCACCAAGGCGACGAUGUCUAGGGGUUCUGAGAGGAAGGUCCCCCACACUGGAACUGAGACACGGUCCAGACUCCUACGGGAGGCAGCAGUGAGGAAUAUUGGUCAAUGGUCGGAAAGACUGAACCAGCCAAUGCCGCGUGAAGGUCAGUGCCCUAUGGGCGUUAAACUUCUUUUGUGUGAGAGCAAUAAGGACCUCGUGAGGUCCGAUGAGAGUAAUCACACGAAUAAGCAUCGGCUAACUCC
rnacentral:rRNA from 1 species